rnacentral:rRNA from 1 species
GACGAACGCUGGCGGCGUGCCUAAUACAUGCAAGUAGAACGCUGAAGAGAGGAUCUUGCUCUUCUUGGAUGAGUUGCGAACGGGUGAGUAACGCGUAGGUAACCUGCCUUGUAGCGGGGGAUAACUAUUGGAAACGAUAGCUAAUACCGCAUAACAAUGGAUGACACAUGUCAUUUAUUUGAAAGGGGCAAUUGCUCUACUACAAGAUGUACCUGCGUUGUAUUAGCUAGUAGGUGAGGUAACGGCUCACCUAGGCGACGAUACAUAGCCGACCUGAGAGGGUGAUCGGCCACACUGGGACUGAGACACGGCCCAGACUCCUACGGGAGGCAGCAGUAGGGAAUCUUCGGCAAUGGGGGCAACCCUGACCGAGCAACGCCGCGUGAGUGAAGAAGGUUUUCGGAUCGUAAAGCUCUGUUGUAGGUCAAGAACGAGUGUGAGAGUGGAAAGUUCACACUGUGACGGUAGCUUACCAGAAAGGGACGGCUAACUACGUG